rnacentral:rRNA from 1 species
UCYGGUUGAUCCUGCCRGACCCGACUGCUAUCAGAGUGAGACUAAGCCAUGCGAGUCAACGUAUGAAUAAUACGUGGCGAGCGGCUCAGUAACACGUAGUCAACAUGCCCAAAGGACGUGGAUAACCUCGGGAAACUGAGGAUAAACCGCGAUAGGUCAUAAGUACUGGAAUGUUUUAUGGCUCAAAUCUACAUGGCCUCUGGAUUGGACUGCGGCCGAUCAGGCUGUUGGUGAGGUAAUGGCCCACCAAACCUGUUACCGGUACGGGCUCUGAGAGGAGGAGCCCGGAGAUGGGCACUGAGACAAGGGCCCAGGCCCUAUGGGGCGCAGCAGGCGCGAAACCUCUGCAAUAGGCGAAAGCUUGACAGGGUUACUCUGAGUGAUUCCCGCUAAGGGAAUCUUUUGGCAUCUCUAAAAACGAUGCAGAAUAAGGGGUGGGCAAGUCUGGUGUCAGCCGCCGCGGUAAUACCAGCACCCCGAGUGGUCGGGACGAUUAUUGGGCCUAAAGCAUCCGUAGCCGGUCUUGCAAGUCUUCCGUUAAAUCCACCUGCUUAACAGAUGGGCUGCGGAAGAUACUACAAGACUAGGAGGCGGGAGAGGCAAGCGGUACUCAGUGGGUAGGGGUAAAAUCCUCUGAUCCAUUGAAGACCACCAGUGGCGAAGGCGGCUUGCCAGAACGCGCUCGACGGUGAGGGAUGAAAGCUGGGGGAGCAAACCGGAUUAGAUACCCGGGUAGUCCCAGCUGUAAACGAUGCAGACUCGGUGAUGGGCCGGCUUCAUGCCGGCUCAGUGCCGCAGGGAAGCCGUUAAGUCUGCCGCCUGGGGAGUACGGUCGCAAGACUGAAACUUAAAGGAAUUGGCGGGGGAGCACCACAAGGGGUGAAGCCUGCGGUUCAAUUGGABUCAACGCCGGR